rnacentral:lncRNA from 1 species
GGCUUGGUGGAAGUUCACAAAAUGCCACGUUUUACAGUUCAUAACUAUGCUGUAGUAUCGUAUAAAUUUUUAAUGUAAAAUUAUUAGGAUUAAGAAUUUAGGAGGGAAUUUAGGAUUAAGAAAUUAAGAAUUUAGGAGGGAAAUGAUGAGCAGAUUACUGCAUUAUAGCGUAAUGGUUCCUGCCUAAUUAAAUCUUCCAGCCGCAAAUUAUAAACUGUAUUACAGUGAAUUCCGCACUAAACGAAAACUUCACUGCGCGAAGUAUUGCUGCAUAAUCUUCGAAAUAACGCGUAGAAUUCGCAUGGAUAUCCAACGAUUUAGUACAUUUUUAUUCGUUGAUACCCAAUGAUGUAUUUGGUUUCUAGGUAUAAAAUUGCUUCAUCCAUAGAAUUUUUUUUUCUUACGCCAUCAAUGCAAUGGCACGAAAUUGAUAAUUAUAGGUGACUUUUAACGCGGAAUUAUUAAUGGAAAACUAUCAGUUUAGAGAAUUAACAGCUGCAUGCAGCGCGGAUAAUCUUAAAAUAGCAACUUCUUUGAAGAUCCAACUACAUAUUUUACUGCAAGGUUUUCACCAUCGCGUGGUUCCUCUCCGAACUACUGCGCGUAUCUACAUAACAGAAAAUGGAUGCAUUAAUUAUUUGUUACAUCCACAGAGAAGAAAACGUUUUUACAUCAACAGAACAAAUCAUUUUUUUAAAUUACGUAUAUAUAUAACUACCGAAAG